UAUUUACAUGUCUCUCUAACAUUUGACACUGUACUAUAGUACCAAAUUAAAUUUCAUUUUUUUUCCGUUGAAAAAAUGGCUCAAAACGAUGAAGGAAGUAAUAGCAAGGAACAAGAUCGUUUGUUGCCUAUAGCCAACGUUGGUCGAAUAAUGAAACAAACUUUACCCCCAAAUGCAAAAAUCUCAAAAGAAGCAAAAGAAACAAUGCAAGAAUGUGUAUCUGAGUUUAUCGGAUUUGUGACCGGUGAAGCAUCGGAGAAGUGCCGGAAAGAACGCCGGAAAACGGUGAACGGCGACGACGUUUGUUGGGCUUUGGGAACUUUAGGGUUUGAUGAUUAUGGUGGUACAAUGAAGAGGUAUUUGCAUAGAUAUAGAGAGAGUGAAAGUGAGAAAGUAAAUCAAGAAAGAAUUGACAAUCAUAGUGAAGAAUUGGAAGAACGUCCAAUAGGAGGAUCUCAGCCAAGAAACUAUAAUCUCGAUUAAUUAGGAAUAAAAAUUAAUUAAUUAUCUCAUGUUUUUGUUUCUCUUGAUUUUAAAUCUCCUUUUUAUAAUUGUUUCUUCCAUAAUUUCUAAUUACAAAGGUUUGUAUUUUUUCGAAUGGAAUCAUGUUGAAUUAAAACAUUCAUCUCAUAGUCAAGUUGAUUGAAUGAUUUCUCUAUAAAAAUUAAAUUUGACCUUUUUUUUGGGUAUGGAUUCACUUGAUAUUAUACUGCAGGUUUGAAUUAAGCACCUGCGGUACUAUGAAUUGAAGCAGACCAGGUAAGUAGAAACAGUAAUAGAUUAAAGCAGUAUUAAGUACUCUCUCUUUUUUUUUUUUUUUUGGGGGGUCUAGAAUCUAUCUGUUUCCAUGAAAAUUUGCAACUGUAUGGUUACGUUUGAUAUGAAGAAAAAUAUUAUCGAAAAACAUUUUCAGCAAAAUACUUUUUAGAAGAUAUUUUGUCACACUGUUCAACACUCUAUAAAAGUUAGAAAUUACUUCAAUGAACUAUUGGAGAAAAACAUCAGGGGAGAAAGUCAUUUUACCUCUUUUGACGGAAAAUAUUUUUCAAGAAAGUGUAUUUUUUUGCUGUUUGGUUGUCAGAAAAUGACUUGUUUUGUGAAAAAAUUGUCGAAAAAUGUUUUCCAUGGCACCAAAUAAUACACCCUAUGUACAUAGGCUAUAUACUACUAAUUUGGAAAUAUAAACAAGAUUAUAUGGUUCAUGCCAUUAGCUAGAAGAGUUGAUGAGUACUGAUUGGUCUUUAAUUUAGGCUAGCUUUCCCUUUCUUUAGGGUUUGUUUGGUUUGAAGUAGGAAUUAGGAAAGGAAAAAUGGAACAGAAGAUGCUGAGCUAGAGCAAAAUAUACUACUAUUAUCUUAUUCAGUGUUUCUAUUCUCGUUCCUUUCAUUCCAAUCCUAAUUAAUCAAAACGUUAAUUUCACCAAUGAGUAUAUAUACUGAAACAAACAUCAAAGAUUGGUCCAGAAAUUUGAAAGGUCAUUAUCCAAAAUUGCCUCAAGGAGUGGUUAAGUAUAAUCCUCCAAAAAUUGAUUUCAUCUAUACAAAAUAGUUGAAGGAAUUAAAUGGACUUGGCUAACAUUAGACUUAGAUAAUGAUCAUUGGAGAUAUAAAGCUUAAUUUAGUCAAUGAACUGUAUGGACCCUUGUUAGUGACUCAGAUACUAAUCGGAGAAUUCAAAUAUCAACAUUUAGGGUAAGCUUUGAAUGGAUCCAAAGAAAAGAAAAUAGAAGUUGAUAGAUGAGACUAAUUACUUUGUUUUUAGUCUUCUUUCCUUUGAUUUCUAUUCCUUGUAGAAGUUAUUAGACGAGGAUAUUUUUUUCUUUCUUUUUUUUCUAAACUUUUCCCAGAUUGCAUGGGAGUGUUGUAUUAGCAAAAAUAAGGAGUUUGUUGAUACAUCACGAGGGUAGAACACACCCUACAAAAAAUGAGGCGUAGGCAAUUAUAAAUAGAUCGCCCUCUCUAAAUAACAAAAUGCAAAACUAGCUAAUAAAAAAGUUGGCCUUGUCAUAUUUAUUCCUUAUGCAAGAAACCUAAUCUUUGUCCAGCAAAAAGGGGUCUUUCGCCUGACUAGGCAGCUGAUGGUUGGAAUAGAAAAAAGCAGGCUGAUGGUUGUUCACUGCCAUUUUAGCCAAACAAUCCGCUAAUUGAUUCGCCUCUCUAUAGCAGUGACUAAUCUGGAUGUUGGAGGUGUUGAUAGCUGAUAAUAGGUUAAAUCUAGGAUGAAGAGCCUAGGUGAUGCCUUAAACAGUUGUGAUUGGAACCAUUUUGGAGCAAGAAAGACCCCUCAGAGCUGAGUACGCUUGAAGACGAGGAACAAAAGUGAUGAAACACAGAACUGGACAUGCGCACCCAGGUGCGCGACCGCGCUACUUUUAGCGCGUCCAUGACAUAAUCUCAGCCAAUUAGCGCGGCCAGGUGCGCGGUCGUGCUAGUCCAAAAUCCGGGAAGAGUUAUUUAGGGGCAGAAUU